rnacentral:rRNA from 1 species
AUUGAACGCUGGCGGCAUGCCUUACACAUGCAAGUCGAACGGCAGCAUGGAGAGCUUGCUCCCUGAUGGCGAGUGGCGAACGGGUGAGUAAUGCAUCGGAACGUACCGUGUAAUGGGGGAUAACGUAGCGAAAGUUACGCUAAUACCGCAUACGACCUGAGGGUGAAAGCAGGGGAUCGCAAGACCUUGCGUUAUACGAGCGGCCGAUGUCAGAUUAGCUAGUUGGUGAGGUAAAGGCUCACCAAGGCGACGAUCUGUAGCGGGUCUGUGAGGAUGAUCCGCCACGCUGGGAGUGAGACACGGACCAGACUCCUACGGGGGGCAGCAGUGGGGAAUUUUGGACAAUGGGGGCAACCCUGAUCCAGCCAUGCCGCGUGAGUGAAGAAGGCCUUCGGGUUGUAAAGCUCUUUCGGCCGGGAAGAAAUCGCACAGGCUAAUACUCUGUGUGGAUGACGGUACCGGCAUAAGAAGCACCGGCUAACUACGUGCCAGCAGCCGCCGUAA